AAUGAACGCUGGCGGCGUGCCUAAUACAUGCAAGUCGAGCGAACAGACGAGGAGCUUGCUCCUUUGACGUUAGCGGCGGACGGGUGAGUAACACGUGGGUAACCUACCUAUAAGACUGGGAUAACUUCGGGAAACCGGAGCUAAUACCGGAUAAUAUUUCGAACCGCAUGGUUCGAUAGUGAAAGAUGGCUUUGCUAUCACUUAUAGAUGGACCUGCGCCGUAUUAGCUAGUUGGUAAGGUAACGGCUUACCAAGGCAACGAUACGUAGCCGACCUGAGAGGGUGAUCGGCCACACUGGAACUGAGACACGGUCCAGACUCCUACGGGAGGCAGCAGUAGGGAAUCUUCCGCAAUGGGCGAAAGCCUGACGGAGCAACGCCGCGUGAGUGAUGAAGGUCUUCGGAUCGUAAAACUCUGUUAUUAGAGAAGAACAAACGUGUAAGUAACUGUGCACGUCUUGACGGUACCUAAUCAGAAAGCCACGGCUAACUACGUG
rnacentral:rRNA from 1 species